UUAAUUAGUAUAGCCUGUUUUAGUGAUCUCCUCAAAUCUUUACAGGCUAUGCUAAUCUAUGC
rfam:Scleropages formosus scaffold1896, whole genome shotgun sequence.